CACACACACACACACACACACACACACACACACACACACACACACACUUUGCAUCAGCAGCUCCUGCUUCAGUGCUCGGUGAGGGUUUAUAUUCCUGUGACUUGAACACUUCAUGACUGAGAGCUGCUGCUCAGCAUCUUCACCCACAGCAACCAUGACUUUGAUCAGCAUCUUCAUCUGCACACUGGCCCUCUGGACUCAAGGAUCCAGAGGUCAGGGGACUGUGACUCAGACUCCUUCAGUGAAGACUGUUGUUCCAGGAGACACAGUUACCAUCAACUGUAAAACCAGUAGCACAGUGGAUAGUGGAACCAGUGCAUUCUGGUACCUACAGAAACCUGGAGAAGCUCCUAAACUGCUUAUAUAUGAGGCUACAAAAUUACAGUCAGGGAUUCCAGCACGUUUCAGUGGCAGUGGAUCUGAUACCGACUUCACGCUGACCAUCAGUGGAGUCCAGAAUGAAGAUUCAGGAGAUUAUUACUGUAAGGGUGAACAUUAUAUCAGUGGUAGCUAUGUGUUUGAGCGUCAUACAAAAACCUCAGUGAGAAGCACAGAGAAACACUGCUGCAACAGGGAAACACUGCAGGUGCUGACGAGGAGGAUGUGAUACAGCACAAUAUUACAAAAACAGCCUUCUUCCACCUUAGAAAUAUUGCUAAGCUAAGAAACAUGUUGUCUAUAUCUGAUGCAAAGAAGCUCAUCUACGCAUUUAUGACUUCCAGACUGGACUAUUGGAAUGCAUUACUAGAUGGAUGUCCUGCAUCAUUAAA